rnacentral:rRNA from 1 species
CGCGUAGGCGGCUUGGUAAGGGGGCGGUGAAAGCCCGGGGCUCAACCCCGGGUCUGCCGGACCGACUGCCGAGCUUGAGCACACUAGGGGCGGGUGGAAUUCCGGGUGUAGCGGUGGAAUGCGUAGAGAUCCGGAGGAACACCGGUGGCGAAGGCGGCCCGCUGGGGUGUGUCUGACGCUGAGGCGCGACAGCGUGGGGAGCAAACAGGAUUAGAUACCCUGGUAGUCCCACGCCGUAAACGAUGGGCACUAGGUGCUCGGGGGAGCGACCCCUUGGGUGCCGGCGCUAACGCAUUAAGUGCCCCGCCUGGGGAGUACGGCCGCAAGGCUUGAA